rfam:Micromonospora echinofusca strain DSM 43913 genome assembly, chromosome: I
CUUGAUCGAACCGAGCCACAGCGGCCGGUCCUGCGGCCGGUCCUGCCCGUACGUGGCCAGGAGGGCCUGCGCCUC